rnacentral:rRNA from 1 species
AGUGAACGCUGGCGGUAGGCCUAACACAUGCAAGUCGAACGGCAGCACAGGAGAGCUUGCUCUCUGGGUGGCGAGUGGCGGACGGGUGAGGAAUACAUCGGAAUCUACUCUGUCGUGGGGGAUAACGUAGGGAAACUUACGCUAAUACCGCAUACGACCUACGGGUGAAAGCAGGGGACCUUCGGGCCUUGCGCGAUUGAAUGAGCCGAUGUCGGAUUAGCUAGUUGGCGGGGUAAAGGACCACCAAGGCGACGAUCCGUAGCUGGUCUGAGAGGAUGAUCAGCCACACUGGAACUGAGACACGGUCCAGACUCCUACGGAAGGCAGCAGUGGGGAAUAUUGGACAAUGGGCGCAAGCCUGAUCCAGCCAUACCGCGUGGGUGAAGAAGGCCUUCGGGUUGUAAAGCCCUUUUGUUGGGAAAGAAAUCCAGCUGGCUAAUACCCGGUUGGGAUGACGGUACCCAAAGAAUAAGCACCGGCUAACUUCGUGCCAGCAGCCGCAGUAA